UUGUCACAUCGUCAUCAUGGGAAUUUACUGGACCAAGCCGGUUUACUCACAUCCAUCCAGUAUUUAAGAGACGGUACCACAGAUGCCUUAGUAAAUACAGACUGUGACAUUGUAAUAACUGGACAAGACAUCUAUUCAAGGAUGAAGACAUUACGUGCAAUGCUACUGAUGCUGUUUGUUGCAUCAGUCUUUUCAAAACCAUUUGGUUUGCGCAGAAGAUUUGAUUCAUCGGACUCUGUGCGAUCUAGAUUCAGUUCAGAGGGAAAUGAUUCACAGUCUGAUGAGAAUUCUGAAUCAAACGGGUGUAAAUCAAGUGAUUCUGAAUCUUCGGAGGAAGUUAUCAGCGUUGUGUCAAGCACAUUCCCUCCAGCUAGCACAACAAGUCCAUUGACUGCUGGCAAGACAACAACAACACCACCAGCUACCACAACACAAGCCAUCACACAAUGUGUUACUGAAAGAAGGGGUGAUAAUAGUGUUGUUAUAAUAUCUUGUAGUACUUCUCCAUAAUCAUCAGUUGAAUGUUUAAAGAUGUACAGUUCAUUACAAUUUACAAUAUAGUCAUGUUUAUGUACUGAUAAUGAAGGUCUUGGCACUGAAUGAUGUAACUUUUAAAAUGAUUUACUUUUAAACUUCAUGUCACUAUUAUGGUUUUAAAUCUUUAUAAUAAUAAAAUUGUCACAACGGUUUUAUGAUUUAACACCCUUUAACACACUGUUUUCCGAUGGGAUUUAUUAUUGGUUGUACUUUGUCUGAAGCAAUAAAAUACUACUUACCAGCAUACUGAAAUGAGAG